AAUACAGUACUUGUUAUGCCUUAUUAAAAAAAAGUUUUAUAACAUAAGGAAUUAUAACAAAGAAGCAACACAUAAAAUAUGACAUUCAUAUUUUUUAGUGUGUAUCAAUCGAGUUUCUGACCUAUCAGCUUUUGAUGUUAGGAUAUGGGCCUACCAUGGUGACCACGGGUGACGGGGAAUCAGGGUUCGAUUCCGGAGAGGGAGCCUGAGAAACGGCUACCACAUCCAAGGAAGGCAGCAGGCGCGCAAAUUACCCAAUUCUAAAGAAGAGAGGUAGUGACAAGAAAUAAUAGGACAAGACUAAUUUUUUAGUUUUGUAUCUGUGCUGAUAGAAUUUUAAAACUAUUCUAAAAUUCCAUUGGAGGGCAAGUCUGGUGCCAGCAGCCGCGGUAAUUCCAGCUCCAAUAGCGUAUAUUAAAGUUGCUGCAGUUAAAAAGCUCGUAGUUGGAUCUCAAA
rnacentral:rRNA from 1 species